GCUGGGCAUGGUGGCGCAAGCCUGUAAUCCCAGUGGCUAGGGAGGAUGAGGCAGAAGGAUCAUGAGUUCAAAGCCAGUCUCAGCAAAAUAGAGGUGCUAAGCAACUCAGUGAGAUCCUGUCUCUA
rnacentral:sRNA from 1 species